AGGGUUAUAGUUAAUUAUAACAUUUGGGUUGCAUUCAAAAAGUAUUGAUUUAUUCAAUUAACCUUA
rnacentral:tRNA from 1 species